GAAGAGAACAUGUACUACUCCGUGUAUUGAAGAGCUUGAAAAGCACUUAUCCAGCCGCUUGAAAAAUAUGCCUGGUGCACGACAUUGC
rnacentral:lncRNA from 1 species